CAGACAGAUCACAUACGAAAUUGUAGUUUCAUUGACUGGUUACAUCAUGGUAACCCAGAAGGACACGCCCACAAACAGCUGUUUUGCUCCUAAUUUGCAUUGCAGCUGAGAGAGUCGGCUGAAUCCACUGGGACAUGCUCGUCUACUUUCAACCAAACACAUGGCUUUUCUGUGAGCGUCAGCGUCCAUUUUGCUGAAUCCAUGUCAAGACCUUGCGAUGCCGGUGGACUGUGACUGUGACGCUGACCCGGAACUGUACGAGUAUUUCCUGAGCGAGGGGGAAUCUCUUUGGUUCGUCCCGGAUGUGUGUGACAGGGAGAGCAACUUCACAUGGUACCGGAACUCCUCCCAGGACGUCCUGCCGGUGUCCACUGAAGAGACGGAGCCGGUGCACGCCGACGGACCCGCACUGUUUCUGCUCAACGCUACACAGGGGCGCUCUGGCUGUUUCAUGGCACGGGAGGAGGGUGGGAAUUGCUCCCUCAUAGAGCACUUCCUCCGGGUGAACGUGGUGC
rnacentral:lncRNA from 1 species